rnacentral:rRNA from 2 species
GGCAUGCCUAAUACAUGCAAGUCGAACGAGCUUCCGUUGAAUGACGUGCUUGCACUGAUUUCAACAAUGAAGCGAGUGGCGAACUGGUGAGUAACACGUGGGGAAUCUGCCCAGAAGCAGGGGAUAACACUUGGAAACAGGUGCUAAUACCGUAUAACAACAAAAUCCGCAUGGAUUUUGUUUGAAAGGUGGCUUCGGCUAUCACUUCUGGAUGAUCCCGCGGCGUAUUAGUUAGUUGGUGAGGUAAAGGCCCACCAAGACGAUGAUACGUAGCCGACCUGAGAGGGUAAUCGGCCACAUUGGGACUGAGACACGGCCCAAACUCC